rnacentral:lncRNA from 1 species
GGGGGACCGUCCGCGGGAAUUUGAAGUGGCUGACUGGGCUGCCGGGAGACAGAGGCUCGGGGUCGCGUGCACUUGGCGGCCGGGGAGGUGCCAGUGCCCGGGAGGAAGGUUUCUUUCAAAAUGAAGAUUCACUCAGUGGUUGUAGCUGUCUUGAUAAGCCAGGUUCUAGUUUACGAAGUUUUAUUCCAGAGGGAAAAAAGCCACUUCACCUAGAAAUCUUCCAAACAAAUCAACUUUUGCUCUGUGAGUAA